rnacentral:lncRNA from 1 species
CUUGGCCCUCCGGUGAGCUUCCCUCCAUGUCCUGGCCGCUCGGUCGUUCGCCGCACCGAUCGCCCAGGAAGAUCUACGCUGCUCUCGUCGUUGCCGAGGUUAGUGGCCGGGUGAGGCUCCCUCUUCUUCUCCCUUUAUCCCUUUUCCUCUCUAGCUGCUCCCUCCCUCCCCACACGUUCUUCCCCUCCCCUCUAUGCUCGGCCAGCGCGGCGGCUCGCCCCCGGCCGCGACUCCUAGCCCGCCCAGCCCCUGCUAACCCCGUGCCCCUCGCAUGGCAAACCUCUAUGGCCAGGGCCAUGGCUAACUAAGCGCCUAUGCGACCGCGCCCAUCGCCGGCUCACCCCUUGGCCGCGGCUCCCGGCUCGCCCUACAGCCAGCACCCGUGCAAGCGCUGGCCCACGCUGCGCCGCACCUCCCCGGGCCGCUGCGACCCCGCCCCGUAGACCGGCCGGUGAGACCCGCCCAAGUCCGACGUGCUACCUACGCCGCCCCCACUGUUUCCCUCGAGUCUCCGUUGUGCAAGAGAGGAGAAAGGAAAACUGCCAAUGCAGUUCAUCCGUGCGAGCGUCCAGAGAAAGGAGAAACAACCCCCUGCCGCAUGUCUGCAUUUCGUUGGCUUGUUCAAGCAUCCCACGUUCAGCCAUCCAGAUUCUCUUCGGUCACGUCUCUGCGACCCAGCAUGAGGCUACUCUCCGUCUAAUCACUUUGUGCUAACAAUCCAUGAUUUAGUGAUUAUUUUAUAUCUUUUGUAUUAUAAAUCUGAAUCGAUCCAUUCAAAUUGCGUUAGAUUCGUAUUAAAAUUAUUUUAAUUUAGAAAUAUUUAUCCCCACUGUUGCACAUUUUAUUUAUUUUAUUUAAAUGUUUGUUUAACCAAUGGUUACUGGAACGAUAUUUCAAUUUUAAAAUCUAAUUUCGAAAUUCGAUUUGCGCAUUCAUAAUUAGUCACCAAUAUGAUUAACCUUAACUGAAAUGUUACUUAUUAAUAAUUAUUUAGUGUAAUCACAUUGUUUAUUUAUUAGUUUCGCAUGUCGGUCCGCGCGUACCGUGCGCGUGCCGCGGUGCUGUUUCGCGCGGGUCGUUCGCGAGUGUCGCACGUGUUGUUCGCACGCGUUGUCGCGCGCCGUUCGCGUGUGUCGCGCGCCUUGCCGCGCGCCGUUCGCGCGUUUCACACGUUGUCUGCACGCGAGAUUAAAUCAUUCGCUUAUAAUUACUCAUGUGAGUUAAUUAGUUAUUUAUUUAAUAAUCAACUAUUAAAAUAGUAAGUUAGUCAAAACUAGGUAGUAGUAUUAAUUUACAUUUGAUUAAUAUCAAUUAAUAUAAUUAUGUUGAAUUGGAUGUUCUAUUUAGUACUUGUUUAACGUAAACGCGCUAACCCCUCGACCAUAGCUUCGUCUAUCGUGGUUCUUUUCCUCGUGUAACCGUAGAGGCGUUCUCUAUUUUAUAUUGCUCGCUUUUAUAACAUUUUAUCUUGUAUGGUGUAAUGUUCUUAUGCAUAUGUAUAUGUUUGUUUGCUUGUACGUGUUCGUCUUCGCGUCGCGAAUAGAUUGCGAUCUGUUCCUGAGCUUCGAGGGAUCGACGAUCAAGAUAUGGUGAACCACUGGUCCCGAAAUUAAGCUCUUCGAUUUCUACAAGGCUGAAGAUCCUGAGCAUCUGUUUCGUGAAGGCAAGUGUCCUCUGACCUAUUAUAUCCCCUUUACUUUAUAAUUCAUCAACCCGCAUACCAUGAUCAACCUAAGGAUUGACUAGCUUUCUAUUUACCUUGUCCUUGAUAACCUUUUGGGUUACUAUGGUUGUAACACCCCUGGUGUUACAAUAACUAAAACCUUGUCAUGUCAUCAUCUGCACUUGCAUUAACUGCUUGAUACACCUAGAAUGCAUUCACUAGGUCAAAAAUUUUCAAUGAAUGUGGUGUUGUGUUUAAGAGUAUAGGACUCAGAUUAAGAACUUUGCUUAAGACAUGGGAAGAGAUGUCGUCUCUUGAGCAAGUAAUUAGUUGGCUUGGAAUUUAAAGUAUUAAAGGUAAGACUUAGGACCUAGAGCAACUUUGCUUUCAAAGGUGGGUUAAGUGGAAGAAUUAAUUGAGGAACUAUAUUAACCUUAAAAACCUUAAGUGAGAUUUCAAAACUUUGUUUGGAAUUAUGGAUAAACAAAACAACUCCUAAACCAAGGACACUUUGGACAUGAGCUUCAUAUACUAGAGUUGAUUUGAGAUUAAGGAGUCGCUUGUCUUUUAGGAGUAUAGAUUGAGUUGGAAAAUCACUAGAUGAGAAGGAAUCACAUUUAAAACUCUAAACUAGACCAAAAGUGGAAUUCAAAAUCUAGAGGCAAUUGGGCAACAGUCAAAAUGCCAAAGUUGUAGAGUUUGGAAAAGUGAAUAACUUUCUUAUUUGGAGAUUCCCAUGUUGUGUGGAAGAAUUUGGGGUUAAGUACAAAAAUUCAGUUUUGAGUUUAGAUUGGAAUUUCUGAAAAUAAUAUCAACUAGCCAACUUUGGACCAUUGUAACUUUUGAUUUAUAAGCAGUUUGGAGAUGGUCGCUGUAGCUAAGUUGUAGAGCUAUCCUAGGUGAAUAAACUUGUUUAAGUUACUUAACCUUAAAGCCAUAUGUAACUAGGUGUAAAACUGGUCCAAAUUGGGAAUAUUAGAAUCUGAAUUUCAGAUUUAGUGCACAAUUCAGCAGUGCAGUUUUUGUAUUCUGAAGAAACCUUGGAGCAUGUUGGUGGCUGAUCUAUACAGUUAUUGGUUAAAGUUUCUGUACCAAAGUGAAAGAUCACAUGUUGAUGUAUAAGUUUGGUUAAUGGUUAUAGCCCUAAAGCUAUUUGGAACUUGGAGUAAAACUGGUCCAAAUAGAGCUAUCAGAGAUUGUCAAAUUCAGACUUGGAGUAAAUUCAGAUUCUGAAUUUCUGUGUUUGAUGCAAACUUUGGGCUAGUGUGGUUUGGAAUCCACGAGGUUUUUGUUAAUGGUCACUGUACAAGACUUGUAGAGGAACUAUAGGAGUAUAAAUUUUAUUCAGUAACUUACCCCUAAACCUAUAUGAUACUAGUAGAAAAGGUACUCCAAAGAAGGAUUGGCAGAUUCCUGAGUUUUCAGAUUGUAAAUAAUAGCUAAGUCUGAAAUUCAGUAUUUUGAGACUGACCUUGGAGCAUCUUUAUGGUAAAUCUAAAGAGCUUUGGGCUGUGAUGUUUAUGGAGGAAGUAAAGACCAUAUGAUGUUGAACAAAUUUGUUUAAGUUAGUUUGAUUUGGUUUUACACUAAAAUUGGAGAAAAGGUGGCUCAAAGUUGAACUAUCAGAUUGGUUGGGCUGAAUUUGUGUCACACUCUGAAAUCUAAAUUUCAGGUUAGGGUGCUUUGUUUGGGGCUGUUUUGUGGUUAAUCUGUGUGGUUUGGCAUUAUAGUUUCCAUAGCAACGUUGGAGACCACAGUAAAGUAAACAAGUUUUCUGGAGUGAGGCAGACUUAGUGCAGUUUUCUGAAACUGAAUUUCAGUACAAUUUGCUGAACUUCAGAGCUCUUUUGUGGCCAAUCCAUAAAGUGUUGGACCAUGGUGUCUAUAGUGAAUUGUCAAACCAUAGAAAGGUGAACAACUCUCUUGAGAUGGGUUGGGUCAGGUACUGCACAGAAACCUGAGUUAAAUGCCCUCAAACAUUCACUGUCAAUAGGUGCUAUGAACUGAAUGGGAUUCGAAAGCUAAAAUCGAAUUUCAGUAAAUUGUGACCAACUCCAGAGUAUUAUAACUUGAGAUCGAGGCACUUUUGGCUCUGGGCGGCUGUUUAAGAUUUGAAUCCUAUAGUAUGGUAAACAAGUUCCCUUAGGCAAGCUUGUCCAGGUGCUGCAUAAAAAGUGGAGUAAAAUGUGUUUCAAUUUCCUCUGUUAGGUGUUGAUUGCAGUUUCUGUUUUAGUUAACAGGAGCAGCAGGUUGGGGUUUCGGUCAGUUUUUGGCAGCCCUUUUGUGUUGAUCCCAGGGUUAUGAAUUCUGGAUCUUCUAGUAGAGUCUUAAUGGAUGCUUUGGUGUACAAUUUUCAUGUAGAGUGAUCCCUCUGUCACAGCUGGGAGGGUGAGAUAGGUGGGUGUAAGCAGGAAGGGGUGCAGUGGAAUAGAGGUGAGAACAAUUCGGUUUACUGCAUCUAGAAUCAGAUUAAAGACGAAAGAAAGAUCUCUGCACCCUUAUGUAAUCCACUGAUGUGCACUAAUAGAGAUAUGCAUUGAGGGGACAAUAAAGUGUCUAGAGGCCUCACUCCCUUGCUAAUAAUAUCCAAAUUUUGGUCCCAUUAAUGCCUGUCCGCGCUGGAGUUCUUAUCUAUUCCUUCUCCUAUUAGUAUCGUCGGGCAGGUUGAUAUUUUGGCUGGUGUGAAGCGGCCAGGUGCACUAACGUGCUAGGCUGUGAACCAGCGUGGAGCAUGUAAGCAAAGACACGUAACCAUGUCCAUGCAGCCACUGACGUCUUGAGUCCUUGUGCACUGUGUAUUAGUCGAGCCUGGGCGCCUGCCUUGCCUUCUUAUUCAGUUGUCUCAAGGUUAGUUCAGGGAAGCUUUCUCUACUGUCUUGGUGUUCUAGCUUGAGUAACCGUGUGCUGGUUGUGGUUCUUGUGUCCACAGCAGCAUCAGUCGUUGGGUUCUAGUUCAUCGUGUGCCGUCGUCCCGUGUGGUGACCAUAGCCACCGGAUUCUUACCUCACCAUGGCCAGGGAUCCUCGAAGGUUUCCUCGACCGUGUGGUGCUCGUUCUGUACUCACUUAAGGUCAGUGAAGCUCAUCAACUUGGAAUUUUUAACUCUACUAUUUUGUGCUGGCUGGAACAGAGCUCCGCCGCCGUGAUUUGGCGUCGUGAAUUACCUCUGCGCCGACCCGUUAACUCGCACCAUUUCCGGUCGAGUUCACGCGUGCACUAUAGUUUUGUGAGAUCACUGAAGCUCUAUGAAUCCUUAGUUCGAGCUCUACCACGCGACGUUCACGGGAUCGGGCUCAUUGAACUUAGCUUGCCGCCACCGCCGUCGAAAGCUCGGUUUUAGGAUCUCCAUGGGACAAAUAAGUACCUACCUGAUUCGCCAUAGUUUGAGGGUUGUGUUUGUGUCCUUGCUAUCGUCAGAGUUACAUCACGGUGGUCGAUUUGGCGUCGGCUCGCUAGAGAUUUGCGCGACGGUGUCACAGCCGAGUUUGCGCAAAAGCAAAGAAGAGGGGGGCCUAUGUCCGUACGUCAGAGAGACAGUAAAACAGUGGUCGGACCUUGUCUUAAUUGUUUUGUGUGGUGUGGUUCCCUGUGCAAGAAUACACGCGCGGGCACGUGCUCCCGUUUGUGGGCUGACUAUGCCUAGAAAUAGGCCGGCUGGGUCAGUUUCAGCCCGGGUUUAAUGAUUUUCCUUUAUUCAUUUUUCUGAGAGCUUGUUAAUUAUGUCACAAAUUAUAGAAAUAUGGUAAAAUCAUGGGACAAAUUUUAUGGAGUGUCUAAAUUGGUAAGCUCUCUGGUAAAAGUGUUUUUGGGAUCUUUAGUGCAGUUUACGAAUUUUAAGUAAUUAAAGUGUGCUCUAAAAAGGAUUAAUUGAAUAUUUAGGGAGCAAAUGUGAGCACCAAAAAUUGUGAAAACUUGUGCAGAGUCUUGUUAUCAGAAGAUAAACUCUUGGUAAAAGCUUGGGGCUGUUUGUAAGCCAUUUGCUCAGAAAUCCUUGUAGAGUCCCUAAUUGGAAUAAUACGAAGAACAUAAUCACAUGUGGAUUAGAACUUUGGAAGAAGGAACAAGUUUAACAAGUGAAACCUGAUCUUUGGAUAAAGAAGCAAGAGUGCCUAGUGGGAUCUAGAUUUUUGGCGUAGUUUGAAGAUUGUUCUAAUCCUCUAGAUGUUCAAGUCGUAGGAUUCAAGUCAAAGAAGUAAGUCCUUACUUAAGGCAAGCAUAGAGUUCUUGGUUAUAGAGACAGAGUUCCCUGGUAUGGUUUGAGAGCUUAGUGAUGAUAUUAGAAUGUUUAGCUCCCCUGUUGUUUGGUUAGUUUUGUGUGCACCUUUAGUAAGGUGUAGUUUGUAUUGCUUUAAAGUGUCUUCUUUGCAGUUGCAUAAGUAUAUGCAUUCAUGUUCAUAUCAUUUCAUGUAGAGCUCCCAGCAGAAGGAGUGUAAAUUCAAGAUGAAGUGGUUGUGGAAGAGGAGUUUGCUCUAGUGCCUAUUCAUCAAGUGGAUGGAGCUAUCUAACUGGGUAUUGGAU